rnacentral:rRNA from 1 species
AUUGAACGCUGGCGGCAGGCCUAACACAUGCAAGUCGAGCGAGCGGCGGACGGGUGAGUAAUGUAUGGGAAUCUGCCCGAUAGCGGGGGAUAACUACUGGAAACGGUAGCUAAUACCGCAUACUAUCGGAUGAACCCAUAUGGGCUUAGCUAGUAGGUUGGGUAACGGCUCACCUAGGCGACGAUCUCUAGCUGGUCUGAGAGGAUGACCAGCCACACUGGGACUGAGACACGGCCGAGACUCCUACGGGAGGCAGCAGUGGGGAAUAGUGCAGAAUGGGAGAAAGCCUGAUGCAGCCGUGCCGCGUGUAUGAAGAAGGCCUUAGGGUUGUAAAGGACUUUCAGCGGGGAGGCGUUACCCGCAGAAGAAGCACCGGCUAACUCCGUGCCAGCAGCCGCGGUAAUUC